rnacentral:lncRNA from 1 species
GGGAUCCUGAGGAGCCAGUGGGCUGCAGGCGCAGGCGCAGGCGAGGGGCUGGGUGGCGGUUGAGACAGCGGCGGUACUGGGAGGCGUAGGUGAGGGUCGCGAGGCUGCCCGAGCUUCUGAGCGAGCGCGGUGCUUUUGGGAACGCGGGACGGGCGAUCUGCGGCGCCAGGAGCUGGGCCGAGGCGCGGCGGCGCGGCUGCCGGCUGCCCUGUGAAUGGGAAGUUACGCGAAGUCCACCCAGCGUUUCUGAGGCAAUCUGAAGGCAAAUCCUGUUUAGACCCAGGCGAAGGUUCCCGGUGACCCGGGCUCUCACCAGCCAAUUGUCCCUUGCCGUCCUCCUGAGGGUGCCUGGAGCUUAAGCACUGUGUGCUCUUGGCCUCCACACUGGGGAUGCCGCUGACUCCCACUGUCCAGGGCUUCCAGUGGAUUCUCCGAGGCCCUGAUGUAGAAACUUCCCCAUUGGGUGCACCAAGAGCAGCCUCACAUGGUGUGGGCUGACAUCAAGAGCUGCCAGAUCCAACAGCCCUUGAAGAUAAGGAUGGUCAAACAAAAUAAUAUUAUAUCUGCAGAAAGUCAGAUCUUGGUAAGAUUUACUAGUUGGGAAUCCAAUGUUAAUGCCAAGAAGCAGCUGCCAGUUGGGAUCAAAUGUGAGCCUAUGGAUCAAGACGGUUACCUGGCACGCUGGCCACAGUCUACCUCACUCUUAUCAGAGUCUGAGCUACUGGCAGUGCUUUCAGCUCUGAGUUCAGGCACCUCGAACCUUGUUUUUGUGGUGAAGGAUCCUAAAGUGCUGUGGGGAGUGAUCACAUUUUUCACAACAUCCCUGGCCCCACCUCUUCUGCCACAAACGUCAGCAUGGUGGUAUCAGCCGGCCCUUUGUCCAGCGAGAAGGCAGAGAUGAACAUUCUAGAAAUCAACGAGAAAUUGCAUCCCCAGCUGGCAGAGAAGAAACAGCAGUUCAGAAACCUCAAAGAGAAAUGUUUUGUAACUCAACUGGCCUGCUUCCUGGCCAACCAGCAGAACAAAUACAGCAAUAUAAAGUCCUGGUUCACUCUCAGGAACGAGAGCUGACCCAGUUAAGGGAGAAGUUACGGGAAGGGAGAGAUGCCUCCCGCUCAUUGAAUCAGCAUCUCCAGGCCCUCCUCACUCCGGAUAAGCCAGACAAGUCCCAGGGGCAGGACCUCCAAGAACAGCUGGCUGAGGGGUGUAGACUGGCACAGCAACUUUUCCAGAAGCUCAGCCCAGAAAAUGACGAAGAUGAGGAUGAAGAUGUUCAAGUUGAGGAGGCUGAGAAAGUACUGGAAUCAUCUGCCCCCAGGGAGGUGCAGAAGGCUGAAGAAAGCAAAGUCCCUGAGGACUCACUGGAGGAAUGUGCCAUCACUUGUUCAAAUAGCCACGGCCCUUGUGACUCCAACCAGCCUCACAAGAACAUCAACAUCACCUUUGAGGAAGACAAAGUCAACUCAGCUCUGGUUGUAGACAGAGAAUCCUCUCAUGAUGAAUGUCAGGAUGCUGUAAACAUUCUCCCAGUCCCUGGCCCCACCUCUUCUGCCACAAACGUCAGCAUGGUGGUAUCAGCCGGCCCUUUGUCCAGCGAGAAGGCAGAGAUGAACAUUCUAGAAAUCAACGAGAAAUUGCAUCCCCAGCUGGCAGAGAAGAAACAGCAGUUCAGAAACCUCAAAGAGAAAUGUUUUGUAACUCAACUGGCCUGCUUCCUGGCCAACCAGCAGAACAAAUACAAAAAUGAAGAGUGCAAAGACCUCAUAAAAUCUAUGCUGAGGAAUGAGCGACAGUUCAAGGAGGAGAAGCUUGCAGAGCAGCUCAAGCAAGCUGAGGAGCUCAGGCAAUAUAAAGUCCUGGUUCACUCUCAGGAACGAGAGCUGACCCAGUUAAGGGAGAAGUUACGGGAAGGGAGAGAUGCCUCCUGCUCAUUGAAUCAGCAUCUCCAGGCCCUCCUCACUCCGGAUGAGCCAGACAAGUCCCAGGGGCAGGACCUCCAAGAACAGCUGGCUGAGGGGUGUAGACUGGCACAGCACCUUGUCCAAAAGCUCAGCCCAGAAAAUGACAACGAUGACGAUGAAGAUGUUCAAGUUGAGGUGGCUGAGAAAGUGCAGAAAUCGUCUGCCCCCAGGGAGAUGCCGAAGGCUGAAGAAAAGGAAGUCCCUGAGGACUCACUGGAGGAAUGUGCCAUCACUUGUUCAAAUAGCCAUGGCCCUUAUGACUCCAACCAGCCACAUAGGAAAACCAAAAUCACAUUUGAGGAAGACAAAGUCGACUCAACUCUCAUUGGCUCAUCCUCUCAUGUUGAAUGGGAGGAUGCUGUACACAUUAUCCCAGAAAAUGAAAGUGAUGAUGAGGAAGAGGAAGAAAAAGGGCCAGUGUCUCCCAGGAAUCUGCAGGAGUCUGAAGAGGAGGAAGUCCCCCAGGAGUCCUGGGAUGAAGGUUAUUCGACUCUCUCAAUUCCUCCUGAAAUGUUGGCCUCGUACAAGUCUUACAGCGGCACAUUUCACUCAUUAGAGGAACAGCAAGUCUGCAUGGCUGUUGACAUAGGCGGAUUGGACAGAGGAAUGUUUCUGUGUGCAAGGAAGAACUGCUUAAUGUAAGAGGCCCCAUCUGAAUUUAUUUGCAGGACAUCGGUGGGAUCAAGUGAAAAAGGAGGACCAAGAGGCAACAGGUCCCAGGCUCAGCAGGGAGCUGCUGGAUGAGAAAGGGCCUGAAGUCUUGCAGGACUCACUGGAUAGAUGUUAUUCAACUCCUUCAGGUUAUCUUGAACUGACUGACUCAUGCCAGCCCUACAGAAGUGCCUUUUACAUAUUGGAGCAACAGCGUGUUGGCUGGGCUCUUGACAUGGAUGAAAUUGAAAAGUACCAAGAAGUGGAAGAAGACCAAGACCCAUCAUGCCCCAGGCUCAGCAGGGAGCUGCUGGAGGCAGUAGAGCCUGAAGUCUUGCAGGACUCACUGGAUAGAUGUUAUUCAACUCCUUCCAGUUGUCUUGAACAGCCUGACUCCUGCCUGCCCUAUGGAAGUUCCUUUUAUGCAUUGGAGGAAAAACAUGUUGGCUUUUCUCUUGACGUGG